UACAGAGGUCUCAAGCGUUGUUCGGAUUCAUUGGGCGUAAAGGGUGUGUAGGUGGCGCGCUAAGUCGGGUGUGAAAUUCGGAGCUUAACUCCGAAACUGCAUUCGAUACUGGCGUGCUUGAGGACUGGAGAGGAGACUGGAAUUCAUGGUGUAGCAGUGAAAUGCGUAGAGAUCAUGAGGAAGACCAGUGGCGAAGGCGGGUCUCUGGACAGUUCCUGACACUGAGACAGAAGGCCGGGGAGCAAACGGG
rnacentral:rRNA from 1 species